GUGUGGUAGGGGCAGAGGGAAUUCCCGGUGUAGCGAUGAAAUGCGUAGAUAUCGGGAAGAACACCAGUGGCGAAGGCGCUCUGCUGGGCCAUAACUGACGCUCAUGGACGAAAGCCAGGAAGCGAAAGGGAUUAGAUACCCCUGUAGUCCUGGCCGUAAACGAUGAACACUAGGUGUCAGGGGAAUCGACCCCCUCGGUGUCGUAGCCAACGCGUUAAGUGUUCCGCCUGGGGAGUACGCACGCAAGUGUGAAACUCAAAGGAAUUGACGGGGGCCCGCACAAGCGGUGGAGUAUGUGGUUUAAUUCGAUGCAACGCGAAGAACCUUACCAGGGUUUGACAUCAUGCGAACCCCUGAGAAAUCGGGGGGUGCCUUCGGGAACGCAGUGACAGGUGAUGUAUGGCUGUCGUCAGUUCGUGUCGUGAGAUGUUGGGUUAAGUCCCGCAACGAGCGCAACCCACGUCUUUAGUUGCCAGCAUUCAGUUGGGCACUCUAGAGAGACCGCCGGUGAUAAACCGGAGGAAGGUGUGGAUGACGUCAAGUCAUCAUGCCCCUUACAUCCUGGGCUACACACGUACUACAAUGCUACGGACAAAGAGCAGCGAUCCCGCGAGGGCUAGCAAAUCUCAUAAACCGUGGCUCAGUUCAGAUCGUAGGCUGCAACUCGCCUACGUGAAGGAGAAAUCGCUAGUAAUCGCAGGUCAGCAUACUGCGGUGAAUACGUUCCCGGGCCUUGUACACACCGCCCGUCACACCAUGGAAGUUGGCCACGCCCGAAGCCGUUACUCCAACCCUUGUGGAGGAGGACGUCGAAGGUGGGGCUGAUGACUGGGGUGAAGUCGUAACAAGGUAGCCGUACCGGAAGGUGCGGCUGGAUCACCUCCUAA
rnacentral:rRNA from 1 species